CUAAGUUUUAAAACUGAAGAUAUUUUAACAUGAGCUUCACCCAUUCCUGGAUAAAAUCUAACUUAGAAACAAUGCUUGGGAGCACAUAUUCUCAGAUGACAAAAGAAGUCAUGUGAUGUGUCUGAAACCUGUGUAGCCAGAGUUAUAGUUCAAGGUUCAGAAGAAUUCCUCAGGAAGGAAGGCCUCUGUGCUGCUUUACUUGUACUUUUUGCCCAGAGAAGCACGUUUUGAGCAACACAGGAAUAAAGAUUUAUCAUCACUUAUGGUAACACCACCUCUUAUAUAUUUCACAGUGAAAAGGAAACUGAAGGUUUUGGAAAAGAAGAAUGACGUCUUUGGACAUCAUUUUCUCAAAACAUGUACUUAGUCGGUUUUUUGACCUAUCCAUUUUUUUAUGGUAAAAUAUACAUCAUAUAAAAUUUAACAUUUUAAUUACUCUUGAGUGCAAUUCAAGGGCAGUAACAAAUUCCCGUUGCUAUACAACUGUCUCCACUGUCCCUCCAGAGGCUGUAUCACCCCAGCUUCAUCUCUCUUGCCGUGAAACAGUACUUCCUGUUACUUGCUGUGCUGCGCAGUGCUUAGUCUCUCAGUCAUGUCCGACUAUCUGCAACCUCAUGGACUGCAGCCCGCCAGGCUCCUCUGUCCAUAAGGAUUCUCCAGGCAAGAAUACUGGAGUGGGUUGCCAUGCCCUCCUCCAGGGGAUCGUCCCAACCCAGGGAUAGAACCCAGGUCUCCUGCAUUGCAGGUGGAUUCUUUACCAUCUAAGCCACCAGAGAAGUCCAAGAAUACUAGAAUGGGUAGCCUAUCCCUCCUCCAAGGGAUCCUCCUGACCCAGGAAUUGUAUUCAGGCUCUCCUGAACUGCAAGAGGAUUCUUUACUAGCUGAACUACCAGGGUAGUCCCCUCUUACUUUCUACUCCCUUGUAAAGAUCAUUCCACUUUCUGUGUCUAUGAAUUUGACUACUCUAAGUACAUUUAUAAAUAAAACCGUCUUUGUCCUUUGGAGUAUGCUUUCUUUCAAAAGGAUAAGGCUUUCAAGAGUCUUGUACAUUGUAGCAUGUGUCAGAUCAAUUCAUUU